AAAUAAAAAAUAUUUAGAUACAAUUUAUGGCAAUUUACAUUUGUUUGGAGAGAUUGUGUUAUAACAUAUUAUUUGGAGUACUUAAAAUUAAAAAUUAGUUGUGUCGCUUGUAUCCCUGUUUUUUCAGAUUGGGCAUCCCUCUGCGCUUCCGUCUGGUCUUCUUUUCGGUUUGAUAGUGAUUGCUAUCUGCUGUGUGAAAGAGGAAGAGGGCCUCGAUAGACGACGCCGUUGGUAAUCGAUUUUUCCCUCUCUUUUUUUCAGUAAAAGCUGGUCUGACCUAUUUACCACACUAAAGCGGGUCUGUCAUUUUCCAAUACUAGACGGGUCUAGUUUAGGUUAUGAAUUUAUCGGUCUGGUAUUUAGUGUUGACCUAGUAUUUAUCGGUCUCGUCAUUUAAGAGUGUAUCGAGUCCGGCUUGUCUGGUCUUACUUUGGUUUUAUCGGACAAUCGAUAGUGGCGAUAAUUUUAAGCGUGUGUAUAUCGGUUGGUAUUUUUAAUUAGUGUUGUCCUAGUAUUAAUCAGUCUUGUAGUGGUGCGGUCUCAUUCAUUCAUGCGUUUUAACGGCGUCAGUUGUACGGUCUCUCUUCGCUUAGCUUGGUGUAAAAACGUGUUCCGCUUGCAAAUUUUUACCUUCUUGCUGGCUGUUGCUGGAUACUGGGCUGGACCGCCAUCGAAAUCUCGUCGUCAUUUCGCUGUGGUGUCUGUCAUCAGGCAGUUUUGUGUUCAUACGGCGAUCAGUGGGUCUAGGCAAGGCGUAAUUUGGAGAAAGGCAGCA
rnacentral:sRNA from 1 species